GAUGAACGCUAGCUACAGGCCUAACACAUGCAAGUCGAGGGGCAGCGGGAAGGAAGCUUGCUUUCUUCGCCGGCGACCGGCGCACGGGUGCGUAACGCGUAUCGAACCUACCCUUUACUCGGGAACAGCCUUGCGAAAGCAAGAUUAAUGCCCGAUGUUCCGCGUUUGCCGCAUGGCAAAUUCGGCAAAGAUUUAUUGGUAAAGGAUGGCGAUGCGUCCCAUUAGUUAGUUGGCGGGGUAACGGCCCACCAAGACGACGAUGGGUAGGGGUUCUGAGAGGAAGGUCCCCCACACUGGUACUGAGACACGGACCAGACUCCUACGGGAGGCAGCAGUGAGGAAUAUUGGUCAAUGGGCGCAGGCCUGAACCNGCCAAGUAGCGUGCAGGAAGACGGCCC
rnacentral:rRNA from 1 species